rnacentral:lncRNA from 1 species
GAGCAUUAAGUCAUGGAUCAAUGAUCCUGAUAGACUAGCACAUCUUAUGUAUGCUUGAUGGAGAUGGUGGCUGAUCUCACAAGCCACUCAUGUAGAGACACUAAUAUAAGAAUGUGGGUGCUUAUUAAAGAAUGAGUUCAUUGAAUUGACUCACUGAUAGAAAAUAUCUUAUGGAGACUUACAUAUAUGUCAAAAGAUGGUUCUCUA